AACAGAAAACAAAUAGCUGCAGUAAGAGAGCUGUAAAAAACCCUGCCGCUCGCUGCCUGGAAGACAAGCCUGCACAACUAAUUAACCUGGGCAGGCCUCCGCGGCGUUGGGAAACCAGCUUGGAUUGAUACCGCCCUUCUCCUCGGCGGAGCCGGCCUCUCGAUCUUCACUGGGCGGCAGCGCGAGAGACUCGGAGUUACAGAGACGUAAGAGGCCGAGGUGGACCGGGCACGCAGAGCGAGAGAAACAGUUACCCAUCUGUCUCCACACGCACACAUGUCGUCUUAGCUAGCCUCUGGAUCCUUGAAUGACAGCCAGCCAGACAGACAGACCGCAUUUCUUUGUAAAGAGGUGAUGGUGAGGCAGUGGCCUGAGGCUAGAAACCAUCCCUGCGAUUGGCGCUGUGGGAAUUUGACUGGCUUCCUCUCAGGGGGGUGCCAGUUGCUUCUGGAAGCUUUGUUUUCAGCCUUGAGAGCAGAGCCCAGAGGCCCUUCCCAGAGGCCAGUGGAAGGCCCUCUCUUGGAGUCAGUGGUGGGUGAUGGGGGGCAGGAGGGAGAGAGGGCGACCAGGCGCUGCCUGGAGCCUCCCCAGCUCCGACGAACCCCGGGUGCUCUUGGCUCAGGCCUGCACAACAAGGGGGCACAGUGAGGAGGAGAAAUCAAGAAGUAAUGCUUUUUUUGAAGGAGAAAUUAUAAAUUGCAGUUUAAUCACAUAAUCACUUUGACACUCUCAAGCAAGCUAAUUUCUUCCCUUGCCUCAUUUCAUCCACUCGGCGAGAUGAAUCUUAAUGAAUAAUGUCCUAUGAAUAUUUAAUUUUUGAUCAAUUUGAAUUUUCUCUGGCAUACCUGCUGGAGACAUAAAUCAACUCCUCUUCUACCGGGCAGAGUGAACUUGGACAGCGGCCUGGGUGGAUCUGUGCCCAUGGCCACAACAGUGUGCGGCCUGAAACGCUCUGGGGUUCAGGUUCACCACCAUCGCCACAUCGCGACUCAGACUUUCCUGGAAGCACCGCCUAGGCCAUGCUCUCUAAUUCUACGAGCGGAGCCCUAAAGCCAGCGGUUUUCUAGGCAGACGAGAUGCUUCUGAAAAUGACUCCGCGUAGGUGGCCCUCUCGCUCCAUUCUUUUUCUUCUUAAAGAAGCCCACCCCCUGAGCUGGACUUGACCCUUCCUGGCCCCCUGGGACACGUAUCCAGAGAGGCAGCGUUAAGAAGAGCCCUCUCAGCUGUUCGAGAAGCUGUUUCCAUGAGAUAAUGCCUGACAUUUGUGUGGUGCUGAAGAGGUUCCAAAGCGACUUCACAGACAUCUUUUCAUGUCUGGCAACAUCCUGGGUUUGACGGCUCUGUGCUGACCCUGGGGUGAGGGAACGUGGCUGGAGAGAGCUCCUCUCACCCUCCGUCAAGGCGGGAAGUGGGAACUCACACCUGGGAGGGACUGCUGAGUUCAAAACCAGAAAAUGGGCUUCAACCAAGCAGUCCACAACCAGGGAAGAGUGAGUGUUUGGGACUGAGACCUGGAGGAAGAAAGAGGGGUAUUUGUAAUGGACAAGCUGGCAGCAGGCUCAGUAAUGGCUCAAUGGCAGUGGUGGCAUUGUUUUUGAUUAAAAACUGUUUUUCCUAUUCCAGUUUA